rnacentral:precursor_RNA from 1 species
UGAGAUUAAAAGACAAGAAUAAAUUACCUUUUCAUAUAUUCUCAAACUUUAAUAUUACCCAUAUUUGUAGACACAUUCAAUAUAAUGUCACCCCAUAUCCUAGUUCAGACCUCACUUUCAUAUUUAGGAUGGAAUUUUCUUAUAAAACAAAUGUUAUAAAUAGGAGUGUAUGUUGUGACAACAUUAAACAAACAAUUGAAGUGCAAGAGUAUUACUACUAGCUAGUUGGAGAUGAUGAACAAAAAUGAUUUUCUAAAUCUAUCAAGGUGUUCCCUAGAGUUUCCUUGACCGCUUCAUUAGGGCUUACUUCGUUGUUUGAUGUCCUGCUGAAGUGUUUGGGGGAACUCCUGGGCUCACUCUGAAAUUUUACGCAAAUUAAACAAAUAGAAGUGUUUGCUGAUUGUGGAUGAUGAACGAGAUAGUUCAAGUAUAAAUCUAUCAAGGUGUUCCCUAGAGUUCCCUUGACCACUUCAUGAGGGCUUACUUUGAUGUUGGAAGCCUUGCUGAAGUGUUUGGGGGAACUCCCGGGUUGACUUUGAAAAUUACGCAAACAAGUAUAUAUAAAUGCAUGAGUACGUAUUAGCUAAAGAUGAUGAGUACAAUAUUGAUUCAUGUACCUUUGGAGUUCCCUUGACCACUUCAUGAGAGCUUAAUAUUUGAUUGUUUGAAGUCCUACUGAAGUAUUUGAGGUAACAUUCGGAUCUACUUUGAAAAUUACAAAAAACAAUUAAUUAAAAUCAUGAAGAUUGGACGUUAAUUUUUGUUCUUUUAUUAAACCAGAGCUUUAUUUUAGCCGUAUAAUUAUCCAUUUUGAGCUACAUUGUAUACUCAUUGGAAUAAAGCUUGUAGCU